UGAGGCACUGGUUCCUGAACCAUCACCAAAGCGAAGCAACAUUGAGCCUUAUCAGUACUUAGAUGGGUGACUGCUUGGGAAUACCAGGUGCUGUAAG